UUAAAAAUAGAAUAUACGAGAUUUUCAAUUUUUGCGAGUGAUUCCUCAGAUGCUCCUUCGAGACCAACAGAGAAAAUUCCUCUCUUAGUGGUAGAAUCGUAUCCACUAUUUGGAGCAAAAUCAGUACCCAAACCUGAUUCAAUUAAGGCCUUGUAAAACGGUGAAGAAAAUCCAUCAAAACAUAACUUCGAUAGAACCUUAAGAGCAAAAGUUUCAUAAACAUUUGAGGUAUCGUUUGCAAGAAAAGAAAUUGAGGUUUUUACUUGCCUCCCAGGAGCCAUAACCGGAUCUAAGGGACCAUAUUCCACUACCCUUUUUUCUUGGUCAAACUCCUUUAAAAAGGUGUUUGGUAAAUUUAGCUCUCGUUUUGAAAAUGGCCGAAAUGUCUCACUGAGCGCAGAUAAGUUAUCUUCCAAAGGAAAUGACCCAUACGAAAGAAUUUUGGCGUUGGACGGAUGAUAGUGGGAUCUGUGGAAUUUAACUAGCUCUUCAUACUUAAGAUCAGGAAUUGCCAAAGGAUCACCUCCACUGUUGAAUCCGUACGCAGUUCCCUGAAAAAGAUGUUGCUGGAACAGCAUAUAAAAAAUGUAAGAUGAGUCAGAAACUUGGCCUUUCAUUUCAUUGUAAACAACACCAUUAAAAAUAAUUGGAGACUUUUUAUCGUUAACGUCAGCAUGUUCGAAUCGCCAACCUUCCUGUAAGAAAUCUAGUUUGCGCAGCUUGGGAAACAAAGUAGCAUCUAAAUACACAUCCCGGAGGUUUUUAUAGUCGGUAGUAUUCACGGUUGCAAAAGGAUAAAAUGUAAAAUCUGAAGCAGUAAAGGCAUUCAUAAAAGUUGCUAAACUACGGUUCAACAUUUUAAAGAAAGGAUCUCGAACUGGAUACUUAUUACUUCCACAAAGAGUUGUGUGUUCCAAAAUAUGAGGAAUUCCUUCAUCGUUUUCUGCUGGAGUUUGGAAUCCAAUGCUGAAAACGCUAUUUGGAUCUUCUCGAUCCAGAUGUAUCAUAUCUGCAUUGGUCGGCUCGUGUUUCAAACGAGUAUAAUUAAGCUGUAACUCUGGUACUUUUUUAGUCUAGGAAACAGUUAGUAGUUCCAUUUUUUUAAAUUUGCUUUAGCUACUUACAUCGACUACACGAAAAUCAUGGACUUUGUCGCCAACAUGCAGCCAUCGCUGAAAUAGUCGACAGUUG